GACAGAGGGUGCAAACGUUGUUCGGAAUUACUGGGCGUAAAGGGCGCGUAGGCGGCUUGCUAAGUCGAACGUGAAAUCCCCGGGCUCAACCCGGGAACUGCGUCCGAGACUGGCAGGCUUGAAUCCGGGAGAGGGAUGUGGAAUUCCAGGUGUAGCGGUGAAAUGCGUAGAUAUCUGGAGGAACAUCGGUGGCGAAGGCGGCAUCCUGGACCGGUAUUGACGCUGAGGCGCGAAAGCCAGGGGAGCAAACGGG
rnacentral:rRNA from 1 species